UUUAAAAUGCUGGAUUCAUUUCACACCGUUCUCGUAAAGUAGAUGGGAGCGCUAUUUUCAUUUUAUGGAAUGAACUGAGCAAACACCUCUGGACCUUAACGUCACGGAGCCAGUCAGCACCUGAGCGGAGAGGUUAAUUCCAGAGUUGCUGGUUCCCAGGGUGCAGGCGAAACCCAGGGGACAAGUUCCUCUAGGCGGGCCCUGGGCUGCUCCCUUUCCCCUCCCAGGUGCAGACCCCACCCCUGGGCCCCACCUGUGAUGAGCGAGACUGAACAGAGGGGCCCCAGAAGUGGCGAGAGGAGAGACGCAGGUGGAAAGGGGCCGGGGAGCUGGUGGGGCAGCUGGAGAAGCGCUCGCUCACAGCUGCGCCCAGGAGGCUCCCGGAGGCGCUGACUGCAGGGAGAACCCCCCUCAGCUCCUCCUUGGUCGUCCUCCUCCUGAGGUCGCCGCUCGGAGCACAGGUGGAGCAACGCGGAGCCGGAAGGCAGGAGAGAGAGUGGCGAGUCCUCCAAGGGGGGAGGCUGUGGGAGGCCUGAGCAGAAGGCUGCUGUCUGGAAAGGCUGCGCCCGAGGGGCGCACGAGCAAUCCACCCACCGUGGGAAGGGGACGGCCGGCAAAGUCCCCUGCUGUGGGCUGGUUCUGGGUAGAGGGAAAAAUGUCUUUCAUGUGAAUUCAUAACCACUAGGCCAUUCUUCAUGUGGACUUUAGGUCGAAGCCCAGCCUCAUGUCUCGCUGUAAGAGGAGGUACCUGGGCCUUCUGACAUGCCGGGGAGGGAGCGUUCCCCACGCCUGCGUGGCUGUGCCCCCUGGGAAUCCCUGGGAGUCAGGGAGCACGCAGAUGUCUGUCCCCUGGCAGCUGGAAUCGCACUUCUGAACCCAUCAGGGAGCAGCGCCCUGCGUCUGCGGCAGGCGCUGGGCAGCACGCACAGGAAGGAGGCCGCAAAGCACCUGGUCCACAGGAGGAAGAAUACGCUCCCUCUCCUUUCUUUCUGUCUGUGUGUCUCUCCCCGUCUCUCUGUGUCUAUCUCUGUCUGUCUGUCUGUCUGUCCCUUUGCAUUUAUGAUGGUGACCAGAGAUGCUGUGUUGGAGAACAAGCCAAGUAGCUAAGUCACCCAAACACAGAGCCCACAGAAGUGGAUGGGAGCAGGACCACACCCCAGGAGAUGCGGACCACAGCCCCGCGCAAGUCCUGUCUGGGAGAACGUGUGUGGGUGCAAACUGGGGACUCGGGGGGCUGCCAAGAUCAGUGAGAGCCUCAGUUUCCUCCGGGCUGCAGGCAAGUUGCCCAGUGCAGUGCUGCGUGUCACCAGGGCUGUGUCAGCAUCUGCCAAAUUUCACUGUAAGUUUUUAACAACCUGGGAUUCAGGUUUCCUCUUCAGGGAUAGAAUUGGGUCAGGGAAGUUGGAUCCAGGAUGUCGUCACUGUGAGGGGCGUGGUUUUCCCACUGACUGUGGUUAAAGCCACAGGGCCUGGUCUGAAAUCAGGGUUAACCAGGGUUAAGCAGGGUGGGACCUGGGCAUGUGGGGCAGGGGACCCUGGGGGGGCCCUGGGACCCUCUUCCCCAUCAAGGGGAACUCACAUGCUAAAGAAGCCCCAUCUCUUCCUUUUGCCUUGUAGAGCCUCACGCCCUCCUGUGUCUUCUGUUCCCAGCACCUGGAAUUCUCCAGCUGGGCUGGACAGAACCUAAUUUUGCCAAAAGACACCAGUGUCUGACAUUCUCAGUUCUUUAAAGCAAAAGUUCUCUUAACAGUCCCUGAAGAGUGGGAGAGUUUAGCAAUUAAGACUAUAAUUUUUGCAAGACACAGAGAAAACAGGGCCGGAUGGUACGUGCCAGUCCCGCCCCACAAGGAACUGACAGCUUCUUAAAGCGCACACCUCACCGCCGGGCAGGGAUCCUGGUGUCCUCACUGACCCACAGGGGCAGGCACCAUUAGUCGCCAACCCAGUAUCCAUUUCCCUGCAUCCUAACAGGACUCCAAUUAUGUCUAGGCAGGUAACACGUGCCGCAAAAGUACUCACCUUUUCAGACUCACACGAAGCUAAGGGUGGCCACCUGACUCUUCUGGCAAACAAGACAUAAACAGAAAUCUGCUGGGACUUCUGAGAAAGUUAUUACUUCCCGGCAACAGGCACCACUCUUCCUUCUCCCAUUCUUUCUUCCUCCAUGAACUGCAGAAGCAAUGCCCGGAGCUGUAGCAGCCACCAUACAAUCAUGAAGCAAUAUCCUGGGGGAUGAAAGCCAACCUGAAGGAGGGUGGAGCAGAGAC